rnacentral:rRNA from 1 species
GAUGAACGCUGGCGGCGUGCCUAAUACAUGCAAGUAGAACGCUGAAGGAGGAGCUUGCUCUUCUGGAUGAGUUGCGAACGGGUGAGUAACGCGUAGGUAACCUGCCUUGUAGCGGGGGAUAACUAUUGGAAACGAUAGCUAAUACCGCAUGACAACAGUUAUUGCAUGAUAACUGUUUAAAAGGGGCAACUGCUCCACUACCAGAUGGACCUGCGUUGUAUUAGCUAGUUGGUGAGGUAACGGCUCACCAAGGCGACGAUACAUAGCCGACCUGAGAGGGGGAUCGGCCACACUGGGACUGAGACACGGCCCAGACUCCUACGGGAGGCAGCAGUAGGGAAUCUUCGGCAAUGGACGGAAGUCUGACCGAGCAACGCCGCGGGAGUGAAGAAGGUUUUCGGAUCGUAAAGCUCUGUUGUAAGAGAAGAACGAGUGUGAGAGUGGAAAGUUCACACUGUGACGGUAUCUUACCAGAAAGGGACGGCUAACUACGUG